UCGAUGAAGAACGCAGCGAAAUGCGAUACUUGGUGUGAAUUGCAGAAUCCCGUGAACCAUCGAGUUUUUGAACGCAAGUUGCGCCCAAAGCCUUCGGGUCGAGGGCACGUCUGCCUGGGUGUCACGC
rnacentral:rRNA from 1 species